GAUGAAGAACGCAGCGAAAUGCGAUACUUGGUGUGAAUUGCAGAAUCCCGUGAACCAUCGAGUCUUUGAACGCAAGUUGCGCCCGAAGCCACUAGGCCGAGGGCACGCCUGCCUGGGCGUCACACGUCGUUGCCCCCCCCCCAUCUACUCCUUCGGGAUUGCGGGGGGCGGAUGAUGGCCUCCCGUGCGCCUAGCCGCGCGGUUGGCAUAAACACCAAGUCCUCGGCGACGCACGCCACGACAAUCGGUGGUUGCGAAACCUCGGUUGCCCGUCGUGUGCGUUCGUCGCGCAUCGAGGGCUCGAAAAAAUGCUCGGCUCCGGCUCGGCUUUCAACGCGACCCCAUGUCAGGCGGGGUUACCCGCUGAAUUUAAGCAUAUCAAUAAGCGGAGGA
rnacentral:misc_RNA from 1 species